GUAUGCUGCGCGGUAGAGUAAAAGAGAAGGCAUGAUUUUGAUUUUCAUCGAAGUUUCGCUGAGCAGGCUAUCUCGCUCUUUCGCAAUUGCGAAAAUUUCGGACGAACUGUCAAACUGCCAAACAACCAUCUUGUUUUUGGAAAAGUUUUUUCAAGUCGCGUGCUGUUGGCAAAUUUCGUAAUGAUUUCAGUUUGCCGUGCCAAUCUCCUGCUAAAGCAGACAAGUCCGUCCCUGCAUCGUUGAUCGGAACCUGCCGGCAAGUUGUGACUCCCGGGUGGACACGGGCCCAGGAAUCACGACCCCAGAACAAAACGGGGAAGAUAUGAACCAGCCCUACGAGCCGCACCGGACCUGGUCGAAAUGUCCACGUUAAUCAGUGACACCAAGCUAACCACCAUAACAUCCCCAUUGGACGGUUCCUGUUCCGGCAGCUGCCAUCAGUUCCAACUGAACAUGCCCUUUUAAUAAGCCAUGGGUGAAUUUUCCGGCUGCAAAAUGUUCCGGCGUGGCCAACCUUCAGAGAACGGUGCUCAUUCGUUUGGGUCGUGAGUCCAAGAGCGAUAACGGGACCACCACCAAAACUUCGGAAGUUCGCAGCGGAAUCGGUGACGUUAAAGAAAAUCAACAGGUGCAACAAGCUCAAUGAACUUGAAUCCGUCCACGAAGAUGAAUCUGCUACAGGAGAUCCAAACCUAGCGCUGUCUAAAUUUCUGGUGGGCAAUCGGAACGCGGAACAGUUUAGUUUACCUAAUCGUGUCCACGAACAACAUUUUUUUCACCUCCCAGCCGCAAUCCGGCGACACUAAGCGAAGCUGCGGUGGCCAGCAGCAGCUACUGAAGCCGGUGUCCGGAAGCGCGCAAAAGUUGCGGAAAAGGUCUUACUCGGACCAGAAUCAGCUGCAUCGGCACCAGCCGGGACUUCUCCGAUGACGGAAUGGCGGAGAAGACGAUGAGGGUGAAGGUUAUGAUUGGGAGUCGGCGAGGCGUGACUGCGCCCAGUCAAAUCAAUCCGAAUUCUGAUCGCUUCAGCAGCGGUGCCCGGAGUCGUCCAGCAAGAUGAGCGGCGGUGGUGGCCGUGCCUACUUCCGGUACUUCAAUGCUGUGGUUUCGCUGCAGGAGUCGGAUCUUUUUGGCCUCGCAACUGUAACACUUGGAGAUGGCCCAGGAGCAGCUGAUGGCAGCGAAACCAGGGCAGCGGGAGCUUAGGUAAAAUAAUUUUGCACCAUCUCCAGAAAAUGGGAUCUGUGGAUCGAGCAGGACGUCGGCCCGGAAAUGAAAAAAGGUCACGUGCUGAAUUUUCGAAACAAAGGGCAUGUCGACGACCCCGCAGGACGUCAACAGACGGUCAAGAAGCUGAGGAACCAUCGGAGGCGUGCCACCCCGUUGACUAGGGAAAGUAGAAGCUGCCGUAUUAAAUACUUCCGUUACGCCCAAAGCGAUACCGGCCGCCAUCCGGCGCAAUGCUACGUGGAGUCAUGAAGAACAAAGACGUGAUCCUACCCAAGAUGCGUCGGUACAUCUAGCAAUCCCUAUUCGUUCUGUUGGAUUGUCCGCUGGAGUACAAGGGCGAACGUCACGCCACCGUGGAAACUGUCGGCGAUCAGAACUUUAGCAAGCUGCUGCAGGAGGAACAUGUGGCCAAGGUGUGUACCGAUAUGAUUGCCCCGCAACCUUGUCGGUUAGGAAAGAUUCGUUUCGACUGCAACGAUGUCGUGCGCUUGAAACCACGCUUCCUGACGUAGAAGUGACCUGAUCAGCGUGGUACUUCCGAAGGAGCGAAUGCCAGCAAGAACAGUGCAAGUGCAGCUGCUGGCUGAACCGGUGCCGUCCGUGCCGUCGCCUUUUCCAGCUUUACGGUCUUCAGCACGCCCACAGUGGCCGAAUUAAACAAAAGAUUCUGGUUCUUUUCCGUUGUGUAUGCUCGGCGCAAUCCGGAAUUUACACCUAGAAUGGCCAUGGCUCUACCAAUGUCCUCGGAACAACGCUGCUCGGAACAGGCUCUAAUGACGGUCACGGCUCUGUAGUCGCCGACAGGAACGAAGAUGGUGAAAACUCCAGUAAAUCAAAUGUUACGUAGAGGAUGGUCCUCAACCGCGGGAACGUGCGCGGGAACAUGGUCACGGACUGCGGACUGGCUCCCUUGCAUCUUCACCGGCAGCUCUUUUUAGUUCCCGCAUCAGAGGCAGCAAACGACGACUUGAACGAAAAACAACCGGUUGAUACGACCAAAAUUCCGCUCAUGCACGAGUGGCAUGGCAUGCUGCGAAUGUCACCGGAGGAACGGGAACGAAUUUCAAAGAAGACCCGGAACCUUUUAUAGAUCAACCGGCGGGCUGCCAACUCGUCAACCUUGGCCAGCGGUAACGACUUCCCUGCCUCGCUUCCGUAGAAUGUCAUGGGAUGACAAUUUUAAGAUCAAAAUGUAUGGUUCUGACAGAUUCUUCUCUUUGGCCCUUUAAGUGACAUAAUACGCACCGGCACAAGUUCACCGCCAAUUUUCUCAAGCACCAGUACCAUUAUCUACCACAGUUGUACCCCCGCGCAUCGUCGGUGGCCGGAGAAAGUAAAAGAUUUAAAGCCCGUGGGGGAGGGACAGUGUGGGUCUCGUGGCGCA